CGGAGUGGCCCAAGCUGAGCCUGAUGUCCUGGUGGCAGCAUGAGUCUCCUGGACACACAGACUGCACAGACCUGGGUCCCUGGCCCGCCAGACAGCCCGGGUGAACACAGGGUUGUGCUCUUGUCAGGCAGUCUCUGGAGAGCUCCUGUGACUGGCUUGGCUCUGCCUGGCCUGUUGUGUCACUUCACGGAGCUCUGUCCCUUUUCUAAGGCAGUGAACUCAUCACCCAGUUGUGUGCAAAUGUUUAAUCACCAGGGAGAAAGGCUGGGUGCUGGCCCGGGGGCGGGACUGCUGUGUCAGUCUCGGCGGGUGGCAGGCAUGGGGACUGGGGCUGCAGGGUGAGGCAGAGAGGCCGCCCACCCAUGCCAGAGGGGACAGCAGCUCAGUGCUCCUGCUCCCUCUCACGACUUCCCAGGUUUCUUCCUCCAAGCAGGCCCGCCCUCUGCCUGGGGUUCGCCUGGUCACCCUCUCCCAGGCCUGGAUCCAGGCAGUCACAUCCACCGGUCUUUCCUCAAGCUGUCACACUGGCUGUGGCACAGGGACAUCAAGAACUCCUUCCCCGCCCUCAGUUUCCCCACCUGUGGGCAGAGGGCUCAGUGGAGGAAGGUGGGGCUUCCUUCUCCUGUCUAGGCCCUGUGGAUGCUCAUCACCAAGGCCGUUCACAGGCGUCCCUGAAGAAGGACUGGGAUGUUUUAGCAGACACUGGCCCACCAUUUCCCAAAGACUCAUACCCCAGGGAAACCAUCCUGUACCACCAGGCUGACAGCUCUACUGGACAGGAAACAGCCCUCUCCACCCUUUUCGGGAGUGGGAUUUCUCCAGGUGUGGAGCUGUAAGGACCACGAAGAUUUCCUAAAGAAGUACAGCUUGCAGUCAAGUCUUCACACCAGCCACACUCUCCACUGCCAGCCCCUCAGGUCCUGUUACUUUCAGAGGAAGGGGGCAAGAUGGAGGCUCUGCCAGCCUCUUUGAUGUCACAUUGGCGCCACCACGUGGUAAUGUGCAUCAUUGCUGUUUCAAGGUGGGAAAAAUCCUAUGUUCACCCAAACAACUAAAACUGUCUCAGCAGUCCUGGCUGCGGAUUCCAAAUCCCUCUGGAUUCUGAUACCUAGUUCUCCAUCUGUUUGUCCAUCUACUUAAUUAGCACCAUUUAUUUAUAUUUAUCUAUCACUAUGAUCUAUCAUCCAUUUUUAUCUAUUAUCCACGGUCUCUAUUUUUAUUAAUCUAUUUCCUAUCACCUUUUAUCUAUUAUCUGGCAUCUGUCUAUUUUUAUCUCUCUGUCCGUCUAUCAUCUACUUACCCCCAGGUAUAUGGCAGGUAAAAUGUGCUGGGGAUGGUGUGGCAACCACAAAAACUGAAAC
rnacentral:lncRNA from 1 species